UGACAUGUCUAUUAAAGUACCAAGAAA
rnacentral:sRNA from 1 species